rnacentral:lncRNA from 10 species
GUCCUUGCACCUUGCCAAAGCACCCAGGCAGGUUUUAACAUAGAGUUUUACAGAAGUCAGAUGCCCACAUGAUGACCAAUUCAUCUACACCGAAGAGCAAAUGCAGUUCUGGAAAUCAGAAGUCCCAGAAUGAAGGUGCCAUCGGUGGCGCUGGUUCCUCCUGGAGGCUCUAAGGGAAACUCCGUCUCCUGUGCUUCCCCAGCUUCCAGAGGUGACCUGCAUUCCCCAGCUCCUUGCCCCCUCUUCCAUCCUCAGAGCCACAGCUUGGCAUCCUCCAGUCUCUGUCUCUGACCUCUUCUUCGGUCCUCGUUCCUCCUACUGCCCCUCGCAUAAGGACCCUUGUGAUUACGCUGGAUCCACCAGAUAACCCAGGAUCCUCCCCCCAUCUCCAGACCCUUAACUUAAUCACAUCCACGAAGGAAGUCCCUG